rnacentral:lncRNA from 1 species
AGCGACAGCCAUUAAAGAUGUCCUCGUCCUGUCUUCUUCAGUUUUCAGUAGUUGAAGGUGAAGUAUUGCAGUAUUGGUUUGUUGUUUGUUUAUCCUUUAUUUUAUCGCGUCAUCAAGUUGAUGAUGAUUUUUGAUUGCUGAAGGUCUUAAAUUAAGACAAAGGUGGGAAUAGAACUGCAGAUACAUAUUAUACUAAAAUCCACCAUGACAGAUGAAUAUGAUGCCAAGGAUUAGAUUUGAAAAAAGUUCUUCUCCUCUCUACAUUUGAUGAAAGCCAUUUUCAGCAAAGGUGGGAAUAGAAGUGCAGACGCAUAUACCAAAAUCCACCAUGACAGACGAAUAUGCUGCCAACUACAGUUUUAGAUUUAAAACUCCUUUCUACAUCUGAUGGAAACCAUUUUCAGACCAAGAGCAGAGAGACUACGCCUCAUGAAGCUCAAAUCGAGGACGAUAGCAGUUCAAAGUAAAAAUAUAUAAUCAGUUAUA